rnacentral:lncRNA from 1 species
AUGGGAUUAAUACUAACAAAAACCAUAUAAAUUAAUAUUACAUUCAAAACUCAAAUCACACUGAGACUUUUACUUCUUCUUGAAUCAUAAUUACUAUGAAAUGCUACAAUAACAAUUACUAUUACAUUCAAAACUCAAAUCAACUUUGAGAAUUUUUCUUCUUGUUGCAUCAUAAAUAGUAUGAAAUGUAGCAUUACAGUGAGAAGUUAAGAUCACACUUAUAUUUACAAAUCAUCAUAUAAAUGUUUAUCUUAUUCGCCUUUAUUUUGUCCUUCCUUUCUCCUUUCCUCUACUGAACACAUUUCAUCCUGAAGAUAAAAUAACUCAUUCUUUGAUCUACGUAAUGUUCUGCAAACGAAAUGUUUUUUUAGUUUAAUAACUGAAUAUGAAACAAUAAACAAAACAAUGAAGAAAAUAUAUAUGUAAAAACUAGAAAAAGUAUAUGAAUCUAAUUAAUUAUAUAUAUAAUACUUUGGUACUUCCUUAACUUGAUUUUGAGAUUAGGAAAGUAUAUGUCUGCGUCUUCGUCGUCACCAUCUUUGCCCAUUUGUUCAAACUCUAAAUAUUCAGAGAUGGCUAAAAGCAUUAUUUGUGUCGUUAGUGAAAAU